GGAUUGUAGUCUGCAACUCGACUACAUGAAGCNGGAAUCGCUAGUAAUCGCGGAUCAGAAUGCCGCGGUGAAUACGUUCCCGGGUCUUGUACACACCGCCCGUCACACCAUGGGAGUCGAUAACGCCCGAAGUCAGUGACCCAACCGAGAGGAGGGAGCUGCCGAAGGCGGGAUUGAUAACUGGGGUGAAGUCGUAACAAGGUAAC
rnacentral:rRNA from 1 species